AAGGCUUUAGCUUAAUUAAAGUGUCUGUUUUGCAUGCAGGCGAUGUGGGCUAGUAUCCUGCAAGUCUUA
rnacentral:tRNA from 1 species